rnacentral:rRNA from 1 species
UACGUAGGGGGCAAGCGUUGUCCGGAAUCAUUGGGCGUAAAGCGCGCGUAGGCGGUUCGGUAAGUCUGCUGUGAAAGUCCAGGGCUCAACCCUGGAAUGCCGGUGGAUACUGUCGGACUAGAGUACGGAAGAGGCGAGUGGAAUUCCCGGUGUAGCGGUGAAAUGCGCAGAUAUCGGGAGGAACACCAAUUGCGAAGGCAGCUCGCUGGGACGUUACUGACGCUGAGACGCGAAAGCGUGGGGAGCAAACAGG